GACGAACGCUGGCGGCGUGCUUAACACAUGCAAGUCGAACGGAAAGGCCCCUUUGGGGGUACUCGAGUGGCGAACGGGUGAGUAACACGUGAGUAACCUGCCCUUGACUUCGGGAUAACUUCAGGAAACUGGGGCUAAUACCGGAUAGGAAUCCUUGCUGCAUGGUGGGGGUUGGAAAGCUUCGGCGGUUUUGGAUGGACUCGCGGCUUAUCAGCUUGUUGGUGGGGUAGUGGCUUACCAAGGCUUUGACGGGUAGCCGGCCUGAGAGGGCGACCGGCCACAUUGGGACUGAGAUACGGCCCAGACUCCGACGGGAGGCAGCAGUGGGGAAUAUUGCACAAUGGGCGGAAGCCUGAUGCAGCAACGCCGCGUGCGGGAUGACGGCCUUCGGUUUGUAAACCGCUUUCAGCAGGGGCGAAGCUUGUGGUGACGGUACCUGCAGAAGAAGCACCGGCUAACUACGUG
rnacentral:rRNA from 1 species